AGCGAACGUUUGCGGCGGGCCUAACACAUGCAAGUCGAACGCACUAGCAAUAGUGAGUGGCGCACGGGUGCGUAACACGUGGGUAAUCAACCCUUCAGCUUGGGAUAACGACUUGAAAGGGUCGCUAAUACCGGAUACGGCGCGGGAGGCUUCGGCUUCUCACGAGAAAGCCUCGCAAGGGGCACUGAAGGACGAGCCUGCGGCCCAUCAGCUAGUUGGUGAGGUAAGAGCUCACCAAGGCGAAGACGGGUAGCUGGUCUGAGAGGAUGAUCAGCCACACUGGAACUGAGACACGGUCCAGACUCCUACGGGAGGCAGCAGUGGGGAAUAUUGCGCAAUGGGCGAAAGCCUGACGCAGCCACGCCGCGUGAGCGAUGAAGGCCUCGGGUCGUAAAGCUCUGUGGGGAGAGACGAAGAAAGCCCGUGAAGAGCGGGCCUUGACGGUAUCUCCUUAGCAAGCACCGGCUAACUCCGUGCCAGCAGCCGCGGU
rnacentral:rRNA from 1 species